rnacentral:rRNA from 1 species
UACGUAGGGGGCAAGCGUUGUCCGGAUUUAUUGGGCGUAAAGAGCGUGUAGGCGGCUUGGUAGGUCCGCUGUGAAAACUCGAGGCUCAACCUCGAGAUGUCGGCGGAAACCACUUGGCUAGAGUCCGGAAGAGGAGAGUGGAAUUCCUGGUGUAGCGGUGGAAUGCGCAGAUAUCAGGAAGAACACCCGUGGCGAAGGCGGCUCUCUGGAACGCAACUGACGCUGAGACGCGAAAGCGUGGGGAGCGAACAGG